GGAGAUGUAGCUCAGUGGAAGAGUGCUUGCUCAGCAUGUGUGAAGUCCUGGGUUCAAUCCCAGCACUACCC
rnacentral:tRNA from 1 species